AUUCCAGCUCCAAUAGCGUAUAUUAAAGUUGUUGCAGUUAAAAAGCUCGUAGUUGGAUUUCUGGCAGGAGUGACUGACCACAAACUCUGUUUGUGAGUUGUGUCAUUCUGGCCAUCCUUGGUAAGAUCCUUUUUGGCAUUAAGUUGUCGGGAAGGGGAUGACCAUCGUUUACUGUGAAAAAAUUAGAGUGUUUAAAGCAGGCUUAUGCCGUUGAAUAUAUUAGCAUGGAAUAAUAAGAUAGGACUUUGAGUCUAUUUUGUUGGUUUGCGAGUCAAAGUAAUGAUUAAUAGGGACAGUUGGGGGUAUUCGUAUUUAACUGUCAGAGGUGAAAUUCUUGGAUUUGUUAAAGACGGGCUACUGCGAAAGCAUCUGCCAUGGAUGUUUUCAUCA
rnacentral:rRNA from 1 species